UACGAGGGGGGCAAGCGUUGUUCGGAAUUAUUGGGCGUAAAGGGCGCGUAGGCGGUGCGGUAAGUCUGAUGUGAAAUCUCCGGGCUCAACUCGGAGUCUGCAUCAGAAACUGCCGUGCUCGAGUGUGGGAGAGGUGAGUGGAAUUCCCGGUGUAGCGGUGAAAUGCGUAGAGAUGUGGAGGAACACCGAUGGCGAAGGCAGCCCCCUGGGUUAACACUGACGCUCAGGCACGAAAGCGUGGGGAGCAAACAGG
rnacentral:rRNA from 1 species